CUGGCUCAGGACGAACGCUGGCGGCGUGCCUAACACAUGCAAGUCGAACGUGAUCUUCAGAGUAGUUUACUACACUGAAGUGAAAGUGGCGGACGGGUGAGUAACGCGUGGGUAACCUGGCCUAUGGAAGGGGAUAGCCUCGGGAAACCGGGAUUAAUACCGUAUGUAGUUGAGAUGUCGCAUGACAUAUCAAUGAAAGAUUUAUCGCCAUAGGAUGGACCCGCGUCCCAUUAGCUAGUUGGUGAGAUAACAGCUCACCAAGGCGACGAUGGGUAGCCGGCCUGAGAGGGCGGACGGCCACACUGGGACUGAGACACGGCCCAGACUCCUACGGGAGGCAGCAGUGGGGAAUAUUGCGCAAUGGGGGCAACCCUGACGCAGCAACGCCGCGUGAAUGAUGAAGGUCUUCGGAUCGUAAAGUUCUGUCAAAGGGGAAGAAAAAAAUGACGGUACCCUUAGAGGAAGCCCCGGCUAACUACGUGCCAGCAGCCGCGGUAAUACGUAGGGGGCAAGCGUUGUCCGGAAUUACUGGGCGUAAAGGGCGUGUAGGCGGUUUUUUAAGUCAGAUGUGAAAGUUCGGGGCUCAACCUCGGAAUUGCAUUUGAAACUGGAGAACUUGAGUACUGGAGAGGUAAGUGGAAUUCCUAGUGUAGCGGUGAAAUGCGUAGAUAUUAGGAGGAACACCAGUGGCGAAGGCGACUUACUGGACAGAUACUGACGCUGAGGCGCGAAAGCGUGGGGAGCGAACAGGAUUAGAUACCCUGGUAGUCCACGCCGUAAACGAUGAGUGCUAGGUGUUGGGGCAACUCAGUGCCGUAGUUAACACAAUAAGCACUCCGCCUGGGGAGUACGAUCGCAAGAUUGAAACUCAAAGGAAUUGACGGGGGCCCGCACAAGCAGCGGAGCAUGUGGUUUAAUUCGAAGCAACGCGAAGAACCUUACCAGGUCUUGACAUUUCCUGAUGAUCGCAGAGAUGCGAAGUUCCCUUCGGGGACAGGAGGACAGGUGGUGCAUGGUUGUCGUCAGCUCGUGUCGUGAGAUGUUGGGUUAAGUCCCGCAACGAGCGCAACCCUUGUAUUUAGUUGCCAGCAGGU
rnacentral:rRNA from 1 species